CAGUAGCCGCGGUAAUACGAAGGGUGCAAGCGUUAAUCGGAAUUACUGGGCGUAAAGCGCGCGUAGGUGGUUUGGUAAGAUGGAUGUGAAAUCCCCGGGCUCAACCUGGGAACUGCAUCCAUAACUGCCUGACUAGAGUACGGUAGAGGGUGGUGGAAUUUCCUGUGUAGCGGUGAAAUGCGUAGAUAUAGGAAGGAACACCAGUGGCGAAGGCGACCACCUGGACUGAUACUGACACUGAGGUGCGAAAGCGUGGGGAGCAAACAGGAUUAGAUACCCGCGUAGUCCCUGUCUCUUAUAA
rnacentral:rRNA from 1 species